rnacentral:pre_miRNA from 1 species
UCUGUUCGUCAAAGUGGCUCUGAUGUGUGUCUCUUUUUUUCAUAUCACAGCCAGCUUUGAUGAGCGGUGG